GUCAUAUGCUUGUCUCAAAGAUUAAGCCAUGCAUGUCUCAGUACAAGCCGAAUUAAGGUGAAACCGCGAAAGGCUCAUUAAAUCAGUUAUGGUUCCUUAGAUCGUACCCACAAUUACUUGGAUAACUGUGGUAAUUCUAGAGCUAAUACAUGCAAACAGAGCUCCGACCGGAAACGGGAGGAGUGCUUUUAUUAGAUCAAAACCAAUCGGUGGCGGGCUCUCGAGCUCGUCAUCGUACAACUUGGUGACUCUGAA
rnacentral:rRNA from 1 species